rnacentral:rRNA from 1 species
UGCAAGUCGAGCGGACAGAAGGGAGCUUGCUCCCGGAUGUUAGCGGCGGACGGGUGAGUAACACGUGGGUAACCUGCCUGUAAGACUGGGAUAACUCCGGGAAACCGGAGCUAAUACCGGAUAGUUCCUUGAACCGCAUGGUUCAAGGAUGAAAGACGGUUUCGGCUGUCACUUACAGAUGGACCCGCGGCGCAUUAGCUAGUUGGUGGGGUAAUGGCUCACCAAGGCGACGAUGCGUAGCCCACCUGAGAGGGUGAUCGGCCACACUGGGACUGAGACACGGCCCAGACUCCUACGGGAGGCAGCAGUAGGGAAUCUUCCGCAAUGGACGAAAGUCUGACGGAGCAACGCCGCGUGAGUGAUGAAGGUUUUCGGAUCGUAAAGCUCUGUUGUUAGGGAAGAACAAGUGCGAGAGUAACUGCUCGCACCUUGACGGUACCUAACCAGAAAGCCACGGCUAACUACGUGCCAGCAGCCGCGGUAAUACGUAGGUGGCAAGCGUUGUCCGGAAUUAUUGGGCGUAAAGGGCUCGCAGGCGGUUUCUUAAGUCUGAUGUGAAAGCCCCCGGCUCAACCGGGGAGGGUCAUUGGAAACUGGGAAACUUGAGUGCAGAAGAGGAGAGUGGAAUUCCACGUGUAGCGGUGAAAUGCGUAGAGAUGUGGAGGAACACCAGUGGCGAAGGCGACUCUCUGGUCUGUAACUGACGCUGAGGAGCGAAAGCGUGGGGAGCGAACAGGAUUAGAUACCCUGGUAGUCCACGCCGUAACACGAUGAGUGCUAAGUGUUAGGGGGUUUCCGCCCCUUAGUGCUGCAGCUAACGCAUUAAGCACUCCGCCUGGGGAGUACGGUCGCAAGACUGAAACUCAAAGGAAUUGACGGGGGCCCGCACAAGCGGUGGAGCAUGUGGUUUAAUUCGAAGCAACGCGAAGAACCUUACCAGGUCUUGACAUCCUCUGACAACCCUAGAGAUAGGGCUUUCCCUUCGGGGACAGAGUGACAGGUGGUGCAUGGUUGUCGUCAGCUCGUGUCGUGAGAUGUUGGGUUAAGUCCCGCAACGAGCGCAACCCUUGAUCUUAGUUGCCAGCAUUCAGUUGGGCACUCUAAGGUGACUGCCGGUGACAAACCGGAGGAAGGUGGGGAUGACGUCAAAUCAUCAUGCCCCUUAUGACCUGGGCUACACACGUGCUACAAUGGACAGAACAAAGGGCUGCAAGACCGCAAGGUUUAGCCAAUCCCAUAAAUCUGUUCUCAGUUCGGAUCGCAGUCUGCAACUCGACUGCGUGAAGCUGGAAUCGCUAGUAAUCGCGGAUCAGCAUGCCGCGGUGAAUACGUUCCCGGGCCUUGUACACACCGCCCGUCACACCACGAGAGUUUGCAACACCCGACGUCGGUGAGGUAACCUUUAUGGAGCCAGCC